GGUGGUGUAUCUCAAUGGUAGAGUGUGUGCUUAGUAUGUACAAGGCCAUGGUUGAAUCCCCAGCUCCACCA
rnacentral:tRNA from 1 species